rnacentral:rRNA from 1 species
UGUGUAGGCGGCAUGUUAAGUCAAUUGUUAAAUUCCUCGGCCUAACUGAGGCUCAGCAGUUGAUACUGGCAUGCUUGAGAGUGGAAGAGAGAAGUGGAAUUCUCGGAGUAGCGGUAAAAUGCGUAGAUCUCGAGAGGAACACCGAUGGCGAAAGCAGCUUCUUGGUCCAUUUCUGACGCUGAGGCACGAAAGCGUGGGUAGCAAACA